rnacentral:rRNA from 1 species
GGCGGACGGGUGAGUAACACGUGGGCAACCUGCCUGUAAGACUGGGAUAACCCCGGGAAACCGGGGCUAAUACCGGAUAAUACUUUCUUUUGCAUAAAGGAAAGUUGAAAGGCGGCUUCGGCUGUCACUUACAGAUGGGCCCGCGGCGCAUUAGCUAGUUGGUGAGGUAACGGCUCACCAAGGCGACGAUGCGUAGCCGACCUGAGAGGGUGAUCGGCCACACUGGGACUGAGACACGGCCCAGACUCCUACGGGAGGCAGCAGUAGGGAAUCUUCCGCAAUGGACGAAAGUCUGACGGAGCAACGCCGCGUGAGUGAUGAAGGUUUUCGGAUCGUAAAACUCUGUUGUUAGGGAAGAACAAGUUGGGUAGUAACUGACCCAACCUUGACGGUACCUAACCAGAAAGCCACGGCUAACUACGUGCCAGCAGCCGCGGUAAUACGUAGGUGGCAAGCGUUGUCCGGAAUUAUUGGGCGUAAAGCGCUCGCAGGCGGUCCUUUAAGUCUGAUGUGAAAUCUCGCGGCUCAACCGCGAACGGUCAUUGGAAACUGGAGGACUUGAGUACAGAAGAGGAGAGUGGAAUUCCACGUGUAGCGGUGAAAUGCGUAGAGAUGUGGAGGAACACCAGUGGCGAAGGCGACUCUCUGGUCUGUAACUGACGCUGAGGANCGAAAGCGUGGGGAGCGAACAGGAUUAGAUACCCUGGUAGUCCACGCCGUAAACGAUGAGUGCUAGGUGUUAGGGGGUUUCCGCCCCUUAGUGCUGAAGUUAACGCAUUAAGCACUCCGCCUGGGGAGUACGGCCGCAGGCUGAAACUC